UGAGAUAUACUGUUUCCCCCAAGCCGGGAUAUCCAAAUUUUUUGGCAUUGUAGAAACUCAGCUCUCGCUGAUCUACUGCUUGCUGUUGUAUCUGUCUUCCCCUCUCACUUCAUCUCAGGUCCAUCCCAUGUUGGAGGCUGCUGCUGAGCUUGGCACAUGCCACAUUGCAAAGGUACUAGUGCACACAAUGCCCAUGUGUGCUCGUGUGUUGCCUCUGUGGUCUGUACCACCUGCAGCGCCGUCGUGGCCUACCCUUCUCUGAAUCCAUUGUAGAUGAGCUCGUCGUGUACCAGGCAACCAAUUCCAACCAUUGCUUAAAAGGUGUUAGGGCAUGGUGAGGCGACUGACCACCUUCUGGAUGCCUAUGCGAGUAAGGCGGACGCCUAGGCAAUGUCAUAAGAAUAUCGUAUACAAUGGCACUCAAAUUCAGAACCAAAUCAGACCUUAAUAUUACCAAUUCUUAGCACACAUACAUAAUUGUAGACCAUAAUAAGGAUCAUUGUUUUUGAGGCGACGCUUAGGCGUCGGGGCAUGCCAGAGGCUCCAGGCGUCGGGGGCGCCACGGCCUCCCUAGUAUGGCGUCCGCCUAAUCGUGAAUGGCGUCGCGCGGACGCCUAAAACAGCGCCCCGCGAAAUCGACCGCGCGCCCCGCGAGAAAAGCACGAUGCGCGGGAAAUUGACUGCGCGCCCCGCGGGUAAAGCACGACGCGCGGGAAAUCGACCGCGCAUCUUCCCAGAUAGGCGCGAGGGGGGAGGAAGAGAGAAGAUGGCGGACGGAUCUUGUCCUUGACCUCCGCUUUGCUGCUCUUGUGUUUGAGUUCACCGGCCGGCCGGCCCUGCAUCUCCGCUUGGCCGUCCGCACCUGCCGUGGAUCCGCUCCAGCAUCGUCUGCACCUCCGUCGGCCCGCCUGCUGUCUGCGCCUCCGUCGACUGAUAGCACAAUGGCAAGUUCAUCUUCCAUCAUCAGCAAUUAUGAUCCCAGGACUGAUUUAGCUCGGAAGGGCAAGUCUGCUGAUCCAGGAUGGAAGUAUGGGUACUGGCCAAACCUUCAAAACAAAGAUGUGGUGGCAUGCACUCUUUGUGAUGUCUCACUUACUGGAGGGAUAAAAAGGCUGAAGAAACAUCUGGCAGGUGGCUUCCCAGAUACAAGGAAGUGCAUGAAAACUACCACUGCAAUUAGAGUGGAGAUGGAAAACUGCUUGAAUCAUCAUCCCUAGAUGAUCCUGACUAGAGAUUUCAGAUCUGCACUUAUGCUAUUGAGUGAUGAGAGAUUUCAGAUUUUCUGUUUUGCUAAGACUUGGCAAUAUUAAGGCACGAUUUGCUUCUGAA